CUCACUUGGAUCAGGUGUCCUCCCUCGAUCUGUCAGAUUUGGCAAUUCUAGUGACAUAGUGACCUGUCACAAGCACUGGUGGCCUGGAUCUGCAGAGGCCCCAGUGUCCACAACAAGAUCUACUUGGAAAGAACUGAGAUCUUAACAACAGUGAAGAUGAACUUCUAUCUGAUGAACAAGUUCUAUUUUAGGCUAUAAGAAUUUGUUGUUCAUCUCAAUGCAAUCAAGAAAGAGAAAUUGCUAAAGAAAAGAGUUUUGGAGAGGAAUCUUGGCUGUCCCCUAAAGUACUGUGUAUUAGGAAGGUGUUCUGUCACAACACAUGCCAGAUUAUGUUUUCUUCUCAAAUAAAUGGAGGUGCCAGCAGGGAUGGAAGAGUAACUGACUCCUUAAACAUUAGCCUCUAUGUUGCGAGAAAUCUCUGGAUGUCUUUAGAGGCGCUGACAUGGAGAAGAAACAACAUGCAACCUACAUUCUCAUCUGGGCUUCUUGGCAAUCACCGGCACCAACUUGCUCAGUCUUGCAAUGUCACCAUCUUGAAAGUGGAUCCUUCACCCUCCAGUUAAGCAUGCAGGUUUAUGCUCUGUGGAGCAGGGACAAGUUUUUCCCAUCACACCCCAUGUAAAUUGCAGAUGGAUUUUUUGGCAAACUAGUAGUCAUUGGUGCUUUAAGCCACUAAAUUUUUAGGUGGAUUAUUACAUAAUAGUAAGUGACUUAUUCACUUGCUAAGAGAAAUGCUCUACAUAGGCUAAAAGUCUAUAGAUUAAAGUCUACAGGGACUAUAGCAUGAUCAUUUUUCUUUUGUUUACUAAUUUUUUUACAUUAAUGGUGCUUUCUAAACUGAGGUUUUCAAAACAGGGGUUAAGUGUAUUCUUGUUUCAUCCCCUGGUUAUAGCACUGUACGUUGAAAAUUUUCUUCAGUAUGUAUGUUCAAAGACUGACAUGUGUUCAUCCUUGCCAAAUUAUGUAAUGGGAAACUUGAGUUCAGAAAAAAGAUGAUGAUUUCUUAAGGAACAAAGGUUCCACUCUCUACUAGAUUUAGGAAAGACAUGGAACAUCAAAACACUUAUUUUGUUAGGUAAUCUAUGAGAAGUCUUACAGGACAGGACUUUCAAAUUUUGUUUAAUACUUAAUCAAAUAUUUUGAUCAAUAAAUUUUACUUUUAUUACUCA
rnacentral:lncRNA from 13 species